GAUGAACGCUGGCUACAGGCUUAACACAUGCAAGUCGAGGGGAAACGACGGGGAAGCUUGCUUCCCCGGGCGUCGACCGGCGCACGGGUGAGUAACGCGUAUCCAACCUGCCUCUGACUGAGGGAUAACCCGUCGAAAGUCGGCCUAAUACCUCAUGGUAUCGUCUGCGGGCAUCCAACGACGAUUAAAGAUUUCAUCGGUCAGGGAUGGGGAUGCGUCUGAUUAGCUUGUUGGCGGGGUAACGGCCCACCAAGGCUACGAUCAGUAGGGGUUCUGAGAGGAAGGUCCCCCACAUUGGAACGGAGACACGGUCCAAACUCCUACGGGAGGCAGCAGUGAGGAAUAUUGGUCAAGGGGCGAGAGCCUGAACCAGCCAAGUAGCGUGCAGGAAGACGGCCCUAUGGGUUGUAAACUGCUUUUAUGCGGGGAUAAAGUGAGGGACGUGUCCCUCAUUGCAGGUACCGCAUGAAUAAGGACCGGCUAAUUCCGUG
rnacentral:rRNA from 1 species